GCGAAAGUAGCUCAAUUGGUAGAGCAAUACCUUGCCAAGGUAUAGGUUGAGAGUUCAAAACUCUUCUUUCGCU
rnacentral:tRNA from 1 species